rnacentral:lncRNA from 10 species
GUGAGACAGGUUUUCACCCAGACUGUCUCAAGAGAAAAAAAAAUCUUUUCAGUGCUGCAUCACAAAUGGAUGGGGGAAAGGAGCGGGUGCAGACCAACAAUGAAUGCAAGCUGACCCAUUAUGGUAGCACAGAUGAAAGAUCUUGGCUACCCAGAUUGGAUGUGAAUGCUACAGACACAAUAGAAAUAUCAUAAAAAUCAUUAGUGCCAAGGAUUUGGCAGCUGAAUGAGGGGGGCUGAAGGACAGGGACGAAUCAAGACUUGGCAAUUUUUGGCUUGAACACCCAAAAGGAUGAUGUGCCAUGUAUUGUUUUCAUUAAAUGUUUAAGGGAAAACAUGAUGUGAAAUUACUAUGUGGAAUAGUGUUGUUUUUAAUACUUAAGAAAAAUUACAUUGUUAACUACAAAGUAAUUUCAAACUUAAUGUGUAUUUCUUGAUCAACUAUAGUCUUCCCACAAUUUCUCAAUGUCUGAGCUUACUUAAAAAUUGCCAACAUCAAUUUUAGAUUCUUCUUAGACAAUUUUCUACUGUCCUUAGAAUAACGGAUUCUAAACAUGGCCUACCAAGACUGUUCCCACCCUGUCCUUUGUCUAAUCCUGCUUUUAGUUCUUGGAAUAUGCUAGGCUCUUCAUCUGCCUUUGGAUCCUUUGCCAACAGCAAUUCCUCCCCCGUUAAUGCUGGCUUGCUUUCUGGAUUCAACUAUUACGUCCAAUCAUGAUUAGAUCCCCAUUCACUUGUAAGGGAAUUAUACUUUCUCCUCAGAGAAUGUAUGAUAGUUUAUAAUGUUAUACUUACAUAAAUAUUUGUCUUAACAGUCCAUAAGCACCAUCAAGGCAGGGAGCAUAACUGCUUUGCUCUAUUGAUAAAACAGAACCGCCAGGUGCAGUGGCUCAUGCCUGUAAUCCCAGCACUUUGGGAGGCUGAGGCGGGCGGAUCACGGUCAGGGGUUUGAGACCAGUCUGGCCAACAUAGUGAAACCCCGCCUCUACUAAAAACACAAAAAUUAACCGGACAUGGUGGCGCGUGCCUGUAGUCCCAGCUACUCCGGAGGCUGAGGCAGGAGAAUCGCUUGAACCCGGGAGGCAGAGGUUGUGGUGAAGUGAGAUUGCACCACUGAACUCCAGCCUAGGCAACAGAGCCAGACUCCAACUCAAAAAAAAAAACAACAACAACAACAAAAAAAAAAACCCCAAAACUUAGUGCAGAACCUGCCACAUAGUAGGCACUGCAAUUUCUACUGAAUAAAGAAUGAAUACAGUAGCAAGGCAAAGGCAAACUGAAGGCUGAAUUAAGAUUUAACUCAAGCUCCACUGUUCAGUGGCAAUCCUACAUCAGCAUAGAUGUAAUUUUAUCAUCCCUAAAACAAGAUAAAACAUAACCAC